UGGUUGCAAAACUCAGCUUUGCCCCUGCACAGAGUUUCCCUUCCCGGGGCCCGCUGGGGAGGCAUCCGCGGCUUGUGGUGGCUGUGGUUUGGUGCCCAGGACCCACACGUAAAAGGAGCUCAUUCGGAGGCAGGGGCACGCGCUUGUCCCCAGAACUGAAACCCCAGAGUCCCUCCGGCAGAUGAGAGUGGAGGCUGUAAAUCACCCUCCAUGCAAUGGCUCAUCAUAAAGGAUAUGGAGCAAAAUUGGAGGAGGCACGAGAAGGAAAGCCGGUGAUGAACAAGGAUUUGCCUCAACUACAGAGACAGCAUGGAACACGCCCUCCUAGGCUGCCCACAUCCUCAUCUGCAUGGGGGCACAGAAGCCUGGCCAUUCAUCCCACGGGAGACUCAGGACAUGCUCCCAGCAACCUGAUGGGCUGCCCAAGGCUUGGCUGAUCCUGCAUCCCUGCAUCACAUCUCAGCUUCUCCCUCUGCCCAAAUCUACUUCCUCCCCAUUCCUUUCAUAGGCAUUGAUUCCCUGAUAAACACCUUGCACCCCAUAUUCCAUCUCAGAGUCUCCUUGCAGAGAACCCAACCUGUGGCAGAGCUGGUCUCAGGACUCAGAGCGAGGGAGCAGGGAAAGAGGACAGGAAAGCAGGGAGAGUCAAUUUAAGGGUAUGUUGUCUGAGACAAAGAUUCUGCUAGGACCUCUGAGAUGGGUACAAGAUGCCUGGAGCCAUUCACUGGGCAGUAUCUGUCCAUCAGCUCCCAGGCCCCACAGAACCGGAGCUGCCUGUGAGGGCUUUCACUGCCCUGCAUUUCUGGGCUUCACAUAUGCACUGGCUGAGAGGGCUCCCUGUCUUCAAGGACGAUCCUGAGCAGAAAGUGGGUGCACUUGAGGUGGCAUGCUGUUGUGAGAGUCUGAGCUUUAUGAGAAGCCGACCCAGGGGGCAUGGUGUGGGGCAUCCCAAAGGACCUGCCAUACAUUAGGUGCCUUGGUCUUGGGGAGGAGCCCUCGGGAGUUCUGAGGGUGGGAGAAGAGGUAGGUGGGGUUAAUCCUUUCCCAUUCCCUCCCUGCCUCAGCACCAUGGCUCAGGCAGUAGCACUGCCAGCUCUUCCUGGGAUCAGAGUCAUGGCCCUGCUCCCCAUGUCCCUUCAGGCUGAGGAACAUAAGGGCUUCCCAUGGUUGCUUGUGUCUGAGUGCCUCAACCUCCCUUGCUGGUUCCUUUCCCCUGCCCACACCUUUGUCAAUAGUUCCCCCCACUGAAUUCUGUUUGGUUGAGCAGUUGGUGGGGAUGCUGACUGAUAAAGUGGUCUAGGCCACUGCUCACUGCUUAAAGCCUUGCUUCAGAGAGACCUUCCAGGGCCCUGCAGCUCCCCCUUCUCCAACCCCUCCAACCCCUCCAACCCUUCUCCCUCCCAGCUGGUCUGGGUUCCCUAAGGCAUCUACUUGCUUUUGAAUCUAUUUCUUACAGAUACAUGUGUGUCCUCUUUCACAGCCUUACCUUUUCAUACGGAGGAGGAAAAAACCCAUUUCUAUAAAGCUAUUAAAUGUUUUCCUUUCACAAACACCAGUUUUGUACAUCAGAAGCACUGCCUUUCAUGCCUAUUGAAUUCUCGGAAAUGGGCUUCGAGUGCCUAUUGCAGGAGUUGAAAUCUGAACAUCAGCUCUGUCUUCCUCUCUGCAUUCCUGCCACACAGUCCUAAUCCUCUCCAGUGUGAUGGAUCCCUCUGGCUGGGUAGAAGGGAGAUCAUUUAAAGGAAAUGUGAAAAAGAAAAGAAUAGUAUUCCAUUUCAAGAGAUUUUUCUCCUGACACAGUUAUUUUCAACAGGUGACAGGUAUUGAUACUGAUGAAAGAUUCUUGAGUGAAUACAAACCACUCCCCACUCCCAUCCCCAACAUACAUUCUCUAGAAAUUCCAGAAUGCCCAGUGAGUGGAUGCAUUCCACAUAUAUUUAGUGCCUAACUACAUGCCAAGGAGCUGGGUGCUAAGAACAAAAAAGUAUGAUUCCUGCCCUCUGCCAUAGAGUUUGUGAUCUGUGUUGAUGCAUUAAAGAUUAAUCCAAUGAUUACACAAAA